rnacentral:rRNA from 1 species
CGGACGGGUGAGUAACGCGUGAGAAUCUGCCUUCAGGACGGGGAUAACAGUUGGAAACGACUGCUAAGACCGGAUGUGCCGAGAGGUGAAAUAUUUAUAGCCUGAAGAUGAGCUCGCGUCCGAUUAGCUAGUUGGUAAGGUAAAAGCUUACCAAGGCGACGAUCGGUAGCUGGUCUGAGAGGACGAUCAGCCACACUGGGACUGAGACACGGCCCAGACUCCUACGGGAGGCAGCAGUGGGGAAUUUUCCGCAAUGGGCGAAAGCCUGACGGAGCAAGACCGCGUGGGGGAGGAAGGUUCUUGGAUUGUAAACCCCUUUUCUCAGGGAAGAAAAAAAUGACGGUACCUGAGGAAUCAGCAUCGGCUAACUCCGUGCCAGCAGCCGCGGUAAUACGGAGGAUGCAAGCGUUAUCCGGAAUAAUUGGGCGUAAAGCGUCCGUAGGUGGCUGUUCAAGUCUGCCGUUAAAGACCGGGGCUUAACCCUGGAAAGGCGGUGGAAACUGAACGGCUAGAGUGCAGUAGGGGUAGAGGGAAUUCCCGGUGUAGCGGUGAAAUGCGUAGAGAUCGGGAAGAACACCGGUGGCGAAAGCGCUCUGCUGGACUGCAACUGACACUGAGGGACGAAAGCUAGGGGAGCGAAUGGGAUUAGAUACCCCAGUAGUC